GUUAAUUUAUACUAUAUACUAUUAAGGAUAUAAUAUAUUAAUAUAAUAUACUUCUAUAAUACUUUUUGUACACUCUUAACCCAAAGAAAAAAGAAAAAGAAAACGUUGUACAGGGCAUAUGUGCAAAAUCUCUGAACAGAAAUUAAUUAACCUCACAGAACAAAGAUCCGCAUUUUCAAAACUUUGACAAAAGACCCACUCCACUGGCAUCGGCGAUUAAACGCAAGCAACCACAUUAGAAGAAUAUGCCAAUCGCUAAUAGAAAGUGAUUCAAAUUAGAAGAAAAAAAGAAGAAGAAACUAGCCAUUGGGGUCACAAAUUCAAAUGAUAUAUAUAUUGGGUUACAACACAAGUUGUCCAUUUUUCUUCAUAGAAAGACAAACAAAUCUCUUCUUCUUCCUCCUCAAUUCUCUCUCUUUCUCUCUCUAAACGCUCCUCCCUCUUUCUCUUUCUCUCUUUCUCUGAUUCUGCACAUGGAUCUGCAUUAAAGGUGCUGUGGUCGAGAAGUUGGUAGAAGAAAUAACAACCAAUGAUCAGCAUUUGAGGCAUCUUAUAAGUAUGUGUGACUAGUGAAGAACUGUAUCUUUGCGUUGGCCUUUCUAAAAUCACCCAUGAUUUUCAGAAUUUUGUAGACCAUGCUGGAAGUGAAAGAGCUUCACAGACACAUGCAGAUGGGGCGAGGCUUAGAGAAGGCGAUCAUAUCAAUCUUAGUUUGAUAACUCUCACAACUGUGAUAAGAAAGCUCAGAAGCGGUCAUAUACCCUACGGGGACUCCAGCUUUCCGGCAAGUUUUGGAAAAUGAGAUUGAAAACAGAGCACCAGAAAAUGAAGACUUCAUUUCAUACCCGAUAAGACCCAGCCAGAGUUUGUGAAAGAGACUUCUACAAUAUGUGGAGACGUUUCAUCAAAGGAAGGAACUCCAGGCUAUCAUCAUUCUAUUUCAGGUAAUAUGAAGAAAAUGCAGAAGAUGGUUUAGAAUGCAGCAGAGGAGACUGUGAGAAGCAUAAGAGCUUAUGUGACAUAAUUGAAGGAACAUGUUGCCAAACUGCAAUACCAAAAGCAGCUACUUGUUUGCUAAGUAUAGUAUUUGCACUACCAACAGAUAACAGACCCUGGAUUAUAGGGUGGAACCCAAUUUCAAACCUUCUACAUUUGUGACAAUUGCAUUUUUCAUUUGUAAGUAUUUCCUAUUUCUGUACAAGUAAAUGAAUUUUAGAGGUUCUUUCUCCGUGCAUCAUUUGUUUAUAUCUUUACUUUUGCUCAAAUUCUAGUGUGACCAAUGCGCAUGAAGGAAGAGGGUCUCGAUAUGGCAAUCUUAAUAUUUUAAUAACAAAAGAAUUGAUUUAUCUUGUUUC